ensembl:lncRNA
CCUCUGCUCACCAGGGUACCAAUAUAACAUGUCGACCUACCCCCCUCUGCUCACCAGGGUUCCAAUAUAACAUAUCAAACUACCCCUCCUCUGCUCAUCAGGGUUCGUUAAGCAAGAUUUGUUGGGUAAUUUUAAAUAGUUACACAGGUAAAGAAAUCAUAAUGUAAUAAAGUCAAUGGUUGACCAAUUAAGUGCUAUAUGUGAUCUCUAACAUAUUGGGACAAACAGACUAUGGCCAAGGCACAAGCAGCAGGCAGGCGGUUUCCCUGGUAAUGCUGAUGUUCCUUAGGGCUACAGGCUCGUCAGCUAAAGCUUGAACAGAAACAAUAAUAUCAACACAAUAACAUGUCUUUUGAAACAAGUUAAAAACAAACAAACAUGAUUAAGCAUGAACACAAUGCACUCCUUUUGAAGCUUAUCGUAUCAACAUGGACACUCAAUCAUACUCAAACUGCUGUAUUUGGGUUUAAAACAUUUUUUAAAAGCCUUUGCAACUUCCAAAAAAACAUGACCUCCUGUCUGUCUUUAAAGCUAGAGGUUCAGCCUUCUUGUUUGUUGGAAUGGAAACAGACAAAAAAGAAAACAUGACCUCCUGUCUGUCUUUAAAGCUAGAGGUUCAGCCUUCCUGUUUGUUGGAAUGGAAACAGACAAAAAAGAAAACAUGACCUCCUGUCUGUCUUUAAAGCUAGAGGUUCAGCCUUCUUGUUUGUUGGAAUGGAAACAGACAAAGAAAACAUGACCUCCUGUCUGUCUUUAAAGCUAGAGGUUCAGCCUUCUUGUUUGUUGGAAUGGAAACAGACAAAGAAAACAUGACCUCCUGUCUGUCUUUAAAGCUAGAGGUUCAGCCUUCCUGUUUGUUGGAAUGGAAACAGACAAAGAAAACAUGAUGAGAAGUGCACAAGAAACUCACGUUGAGCUGACAGAAUGGCCAGGCUAGAGUGGGAGAGAAAAUGACUUUGAAAACUUAAACAGAUCCUGCUCAAACACAUGUUGUGUUGAUACAUUCACAUUGUCAUGUGGUGGGGAGAGUGAAGUCCUUUGUAUCGAUGAUGACAUUUCAUAUACGUAAACACAUCUCCUGUCCAUCUGAAUGGACCCUCAGCUGCAGCCACUAUGCCACUAACACACAGUCUGAACUAGGGCUGUGGCGGUCAUGACAUUUUGUCAGCCGGUGAUUGUCAAGCAAAUAACUGACGGACUCACGGUAAUUUACCGUUAAUUAACAUAAACAUACUUAGCAUCUCCUGGCUUCCACACAUAGUCUACAAGCCACUUAUGCAGAAUUUUG